GUCGAACGAGUUCUCGUUGAUGAUCGGUGCUUGCACCGAGAUUCCACUUGGAACGAGUGGCGGACGGGUGAAUAACACGUGGGUAACCUGCCCUUAAGUGGGGGAUAACAUUUGGAAACAGAUGCUAAUACCGCAUAGAUCCAAGAACCGCAUGGUUCUUGGCUGAAAGAUGGCGUAAGCUAUCGCUUUUGGAUGGACCCGCGGCGUAUUAGCUAGUUGGUGAGGUAACGGCUCACCAAGGCGAUGAUACGUAGCCGAACUGAGAGGUUGAUCGGCCACAUUGGGACUGAGACACGGCCCAAACUCCUACGGGAGGCAGCAGUAGGGAAUCUUCCACAAUGGACGCAAGUCUGAUGGAGCAACGCCGCGUGAGUGAAGAAGGCUUUCGGGUCGUAAAACUCUGUUGUUGGAGAAGAAUGGUCGGCAGAGUAACUGUUGUCGGCGUGACGGUAUCCAACCACAAAGCCACCGCUAACUACGUGCCAGCACCCGCGGUAAUACCUAGGUGGCAAGCGUUAUCCGGAUUUAUUGGGCGUAAAGCGAGCGCAGGCGGUUUUUUAAGUCUGAUGCGAAAGCCCUCGGCUUAACCGAGGAAGCGCAUCGGAAACUGGCAAACUUGAGUGCAGAACACGACAGAGGAACUCCA
rnacentral:rRNA from 1 species